rnacentral:tRNA from 1 species
UCCGAGGUAGCUCAAUUGGUAGAGCAAUCGGCUGUUAACCGAUAGGUCGUGGGUUCGAGUCCCACCCUCGGAGCCA